rnacentral:piRNA from 1 species
GCUUACUCAUACUCAAGCUGCCUCUUUGCC